UGUUUGUGUGUGUGUGUGUGUACACAUACAUACACAAACACACAUAUAUGUAUAAAUACACAUAUACACACAUACAUAUA